GAACUCCUCCUCCAUUUCCUUUUUGGGAUUUGUCACCAUCCUUCUAUUCUCUGGUCUUCUAUUUUUGGUGUUGUUCAAGUGAAGGAAGAGAUGUUCCCUCUAAUUUCUCUCUAGCCCAUUAUAACCUGCUAUCUUCGGGCAACUUUUGAUGUAUGACAUGUCACCCUUCCCAACUUGGUCUCCUCCAACAUGCUGUCUUCAUGUGGAGCCCUCACCACAAUCCCUGACUCCGGUCAUUUGUGCCUUUCUCUUGUCAUCUCUGUACACUACUUAUAUUC
rnacentral:lncRNA from 1 species